GACUCCGUAGCUCAGUUGGUAGAGCAAAUGACUCUUAAUCAUUGGGUCGAGGGUUCGAGUCCCUCCGGGGUUA
rnacentral:tRNA from 1 species